AAGAUGAGAUUUCCCAACUUCGGUUAUAAGAUCCCUCAAAGAUGAUGAGGUUAAUAGGUUUGAGGUGGAAGCAUGGUGACAUGUGGAGCUGACGAAUACUAAUCGAUCGAAGACUUAAUCAA
rnacentral:rRNA from 1 species